CCUAUUGUUUUAGAAGUGGUUUUGUUAAAACCAUUCUUAUCUUGGUUAGAAGGUUCACAAGUUGGC
rnacentral:tRNA from 1 species